rnacentral:lncRNA from 1 species
GUCAAACCAGAGGCUGCCUUAGGGCAGUGAUUCCUUCUCACAUUCCCAUUAAAACCAUGUACCUAUAAAAAGGUAGCUCCAUGUCACCACAGUGGUGACCCUUCUCUCUGACUCAUUUCCCAUUAUGAGCACAAUUAGCGUGCAGCAUGUGUCCUGGGAGAUUAAUGAUCCGCUGGAGGGAAGAAAGAGGAACUUGGGGAAUGGAUCUGGGUGUAGUCAGAGCUCGCCUCUCCCUGGGAGCUGCCUUGGUGCUGUAAAGUUCUUUGUCUCUGAUCCAGGAUCUCAUGUCUUUUGCCAGCUUUGAUGAAACUUGCUAGUUGGAAAGCAGAGUGAAAUCUCAGGCUCUACAACUCUUGACAUAAGUAUUUUAUUCAUUUUUGGUGUCUAUGUUCUUGAAGUACUUAAGAGAUUUGGGGCUAUGCAAGUAAUAGACCAACUUUGUGAUUCAUAUUAAAAUUAAGUGAUUUAAACGCAGGAUUUUUAAUUUGAAAUUAUUUAAGUUUAUAAACAGUAUGGGAACAUUUAGAAAGACCUGGAUUCAUUCUGUUUAUAAUUGUAAUCCAUUAAAUUUAUGAAAAUUACCUAAGAAAUCUGAAAAGGUUUGGUUUAGCCAUCAGGCAAUUGAAGUACCUAAACAAGGAAAUAAAAUAUAUUAAAUUUAUAAAUCUUACUUUAAAUGUUUGAAUGAGUUAAAUAACUCCGUUUGUAUUGGGACCAAACUCUUUAACUCUUUAAGACUGCCUUAAAUCAUUUUGUUAAAAAUCUUAGAUUGAUUUCCACUUCUAUGUAGAGAGUUAGAAAGUAUAUCACCUCUACCCUAACAACAAGAAUAUGACAAAUGAAAUACAAAAUGAUAAUGUUCCUUGAACUCAUCAGAGGACUGACAUCACAGGGCAACUAAGCAACUAGAAUUCCAAAGAAGGACAAGCCCCUCCAAAGACAGGAAGCAUGAGGGCAGGCUCAUCAGUGUCAGAGCAGGGGAGACCAGCACAGACACCUUACAAGCAGAAUGACCUUCUGUGGCUACAGAGAAAGGCUUCAGGCAAAGAGAUGCAGCUCUGGGCCCCAGAGUCCGCUGGAGCACACUGAAGCUGGAGCACACUGAAGUGGAAGAUGGGGCUGCAGACAGAGACUGGGCAGCCUCUGCUCCAGGGAGGCCCGAGAGCCAGAGAGCAGAUUCCAUAAGAAGAAUAACUCCCAUUCCUCAUGCAUGAGACCCUCUGCUAAAUGCUUCCUGUGCACCACCUCCAGAAAUCCUCCCAAGCCAGGACACCAGCAGUAUUACAGGAACUGGAUGACAAAAAGAAGAGCCGAUAUAACCAGGAACCUACUCUGGCCACCCCAAGUAAGGAUCUAAAGUCCAGCCUCCUCCUCCACUGCCCUCAAGGCCUUUCCUCAUGAAAGCAGAGGUUCUGAAUGCUGAUUUCUGUUUUAAAGCCCAAUAACUCUUUAAACAUCUUGUGUGUGUGGUGUGUGUGUGUGUGUGUAGGGGGAAGGGAAGGAGACUGGGGUAGAUAGCUCCAGGAGAUAUAAAGAAAACAGCAAAAUAGCCAGCAUAUUCCCUGCCUUCCAGGUGCUCCGCAUCAAGACUCAGCUGCAGAGAUGACUUCAGUGCAAGUCACAUACACACCAUUGGGCUGGUACCCGUGGCAGCUCUGCAGGGCUUCCAUAUGUGAGUGCCUGGGACCAAGCCGCAAUGGUCAGGAGGGACUUCCUAGAGGAGGAGAACUUCCAACAGAUUUAGAAGAGAGGGGUCACUUAGGGCGGAAGUUCAGGCUCUCUUUCAACAAAACUCCAUGGCUUCCUGGUAGUAGCAAGAUUCUUUAAAAAUGCAGUGCAGUGCUGGUUCAGGCCCCAGCUCCCCACCUGUAGACAUGAGACCCUGAUCCAGAUGUA